AUUGAACGCUGGCGGCAUGCUUUACACAUGCCAGUCGAACGGUAACAGCACUUCGGUGGCUGACGAGUGGCGCACGGGUGAGUAAUACAUCGGAACGUGCCUAGUAGUGGGGGAUAACUACUCGAAAGAGUAGCUAAUACCGCAUGAGAUCUAAGGAUGAAAGCAGGGGACCUUCGGGCCUUGCGCUACUAGAGCGGCUGAUGGCAGAUUAGGUAGUUGGUGGGAUAAAAGCUUACCAAGCCGACGAUCUGUAGCUGGUCUGAGAGGACGACCAGCCACACUGGGACUGAGACACGGCCCAGACUCCUACGGGAGGCAGCAGUGGGGAAUUUUGGACAAUGGGCGCAAGCCUGAUCCAGCAAUGCCGCGUGCAGGAUGAAGGCCUUCGGGUUGUAAACUGCUUUUGUACGGAACGAAAAGCCCUCUUCUAAUACAGGAGGGUCAUGACGGUACCGUAAGAAUAAGCACCGGCUAACUACGUG
rnacentral:rRNA from 1 species